rnacentral:lncRNA from 1 species
GCCCCCAAAUCAGUAAUGUCCACCGGCUUGAGGUCAUCACAGGUUUGUAUGAGAAUUUGUUUUUGAUAUUACUGAAUCCAACUAAUAUGCAAGAUCACCCUGUUUUUCAAAGAUCAUUGGAAUAUAUAGGUAAUUUAAUUUGAAUUUAUCAAAGAAAAUUACAUCAACUUGUAUGGAUUUUUCACCAAUGCAAACUUAUUGCAGGAAAAGGAGAAGUGAGAAUUUGUUCAGAGGAGCAGAAUGCUGACCUCUUUCACGGAGUUCUCGGUGGACUUGGCCAGUUUGGUAUAAUAACUCGAGCAAGAAUCUCUCUAGAGCCAGCACCAAAGAUGGUAAAAAUUUACCAAUCCUGCCAAAACUCGAUUAUAAGCCUUUGGAAUAACAGAAUAGUUUGACAAACUUGUACUUUAACUGUCAACAGGUGAAAUGGAUCAGAGUACUUUAUUCAGAUUUCUCCACUUUUUCCAGAGAUCAGGAGAAUCUAAUAUCUGCAGAAAACACAUUUGAUU